rnacentral:rRNA from 1 species
AUUGAACGCUGGCGGCAUGCCUAACACAUGCAAGUCUAGGGGUAGCAAUACCACUGGCGCACGGGUGAGUAACACGUAGGUUAUCUGCCCCCAUCACAGACAUAACCCCGGGAAACCGGGGCUAAUAUCUGAUGAGGUCGCGAGAUCAAAGCUUCGGCGGAUGGGGAUGAGCCUGCGGCUGAUUAGCUAGUUGGUGAGGUAAUGGCUCACCAAGGCGACGAUCAGUAGCUGGUCUGAGAGGACGAACAGCCACACUGGAACUGAGACACGGUCCAGACUCCUACGGGAGGCAGCAGUGAGGAAUAUUGGUCAAUGGGAGCAAUCCUGAACCAGCAAUGCCGCGUGUGGGAUGACAGGGCUUCGCCUUGU